CAAAACGUAGCUUAACUAAAGCCUCUCGCUUACACCGAGACUAUACUUGUUAAACUCAAGUCGUUUUGA
rnacentral:tRNA from 1 species